rnacentral:rRNA from 1 species
UUUAUGGAGAGUUUGAUCCUGGCUCAGGAUGAACGCUGGCGGCGUGCCUAAUACAUGCAAGUCGAGCGAACGGACGAGAAGCUUGCUUCUCUGAUGUUAGCGGCGGACGGGUGAGUAACACGUGGAUAACCUACCUAUAAGACUGGGAUAACUUCGGGAAACCGGAGCUAAUACCGGAUAAUAUUUUGAACCGCAUGGUUCAAAAGUGAAAGACGGUCUUGCUGUCACUUAUAGAUGGAUCCGCGCUGCAUUAGCUAGUUGGUAAGGUAACGGCUUACCAAGGCAACGAUGCAUAGCCGACCUGAGAGGGUGAUCGGCCACACUGGAACUGAGACACGGUCCAGACUCCUACGGGAGGCAGCAGUAGGGAAUCUUCCGCAAUGGGCGAAAGCCUGACGGAGCAACGCCGCGUGAGUGAUGAAGGUCUUCGGAUCGUAAAACUCUGUUAUUAGGGAAGAACAUAUGUGUAAGUAACUGUGCACAUCUUGACGGUACCUAAUCAGAAAGCCACGGCUAACUACGUGCCAGCAGCCGCGGUAAUACGUAGGUGGCAAGCGUUAUCCGGAAUUAUUGGGCGUAAAGCGCGCGUAGGCGGUUUUUUAAGUCUGAUGUGAAAGCCCACGGCUCAACCGUGGAGGGUCAUUGGAAACUGGAAAACUUGAGUGCAGAAGAGGAAAGUGGAAUUCCAUGUGUAGCGG